GGAAGGUUAAGAAUCUGACGGGAGGCCGAAGCGGAGUUGUGAACAUUUGUGUGCGUGUCCUGUCCGAGACAGCAUAUCCGAUCUAGAAACGGGAAGCUAGAUUUACACCAAGUUCAUCACUUCAUAGAGAUGAAAAGAGCCCUUUGGGAACCUCUUAGCGCCGGGACUGAGCUGGACUGGCCAGCUCGAAGACACUCACCAUGGAUGGUGACCCGGGCGCACAGAUGAUGCGGGGGACCCCCAACCUCCCCGGGAGGGCUACCCACCCAGGCCUGCCUGGGGCUCACCCCGCCCACGCUCUAGACAGUCCAGCCACUCCUCCCGCAUCGCGACCCUUGUCCCUCCCACCACCUCGGACCAAAAAACUCACCGAACUGAAGCAGAGCGAGCAGAGAGACGAGGAGCAGGGGCGUGCCCCUCAUGGCCGGCUGAGUGGCCGCCGGUCCCCCCACACUGGAGAAGCGAGUGUGCGCCCGUCCCGGUUGGCAGCGACUGUCUGAGCUGGCGGCACUAGGACCCGAUGGAGCCCCACCUGGGAAGCAGCUGCGGGCCCCGCCCACUCAGAGGACAGGACAGGAGGGUUUCUCAGUGUCCUGGAGCUGCCUGGUGGCCCGAAGGGGAUCGUGAGACCACACCCAGAUUGUUACUCUGGAGCUGGAAAUUCAAACUCAGUCCUAGGGUUUGUGCACCCACUGAGACAGCUCUUCAGAGCCAGGACACAAACCUUCUAAAUCAGCAAUUUAUAUGAUCCAACCUAUAAUAGAAGCAGACAAAGGGCCAGCAGUCUGAGGAGACAGCGGAGUGUAUCCAGAGGUCUGUCCUACAGCCCACGGCCAGACAGCAGAUUCUCCCGGGAGAAGUGGGUAAGAGCAAACGCGCUCAAUCAUCCCAGAGCCCAAGUCUGCUUUGGAGACUUCGGAUGACUGCCUUCAAGCUCAGCGUCUCCAGAAACAGUGCUCCUUCAGACAUCUGCUGCUGUCCUUCGAUUGUCGUGGGCACCUCCGCCACCAGAUGCCCGGGUCCUUAUGGAAGAAGAGAAAGCAUUCAGCAAAUGCUCAUGGGGAAGUAGAGACUGUAAUAGCUAAAGGAGACCUCCUGGCCCUCCAGGGCAGACUUGAAUGCUGGCUGCUCCCAUAGGCUGGAGGGGUUUGGGUCAAGUUUCAGGAGAGACUCUUAAACUGGAUUGUUUCAAUCUGGAGCAACGAUCUGACAGACUCCAGCUACAGCCAGGAAGAGUCUGGGGCUUCAAUGGUGCUGGGGGCAAGGGGAGUAUAAACCAUACCCCGCUUUCCUCAAAGACACAAAAAAACAAAAACAAAAAACAACUCACCAGGUAGCCCCAGGCUAGCCACACAAUCACAGAGAUCCAUCUGCUUCUGCCUCCCCAGCUGGGAUUAAAGGUGUGUGCCACCACACCGCACCCACAAAAACCACCUUUUAUUUAUUUAUGUUCAGGGCCUUGGUUCAGCUAUGGAGUGCAAAUAACAC